rnacentral:rRNA from 3 species
AUUGGAGGGCAAGUCUGGUGCCAGCAGCCGCGGUAAUUCCAGCUCCAAUAGCGUAUAUUAAAGUUGUUGCGGUUAAAAAGCUCGUAGUUCGAGUUCAGUUUCGGACUGGGGUGGGAGGUCACCGCCCGGUGCUUGCCCCCUAGGCUCCGAACAGCUUCCGUGAGUGGAAGCCAAGCCGGUUCUGGCGGGGUGCUCUUUACCGAGUGUGCCGUACGGCCGGCCAGUUCACCUUGAAUAAAUGAGAGUGCUCAAAGCAGGCUACUCUGGAAUACAAUGCCGGAAUUUUCCUUGCAUGGAAUGAUGGAAGAUGAUCUCGGUUCCAUUUUGUUGGUGGUGGGAGCCCGAGGUAAUGAUAAAGAGGGACUGUCGGGGGCAUCCGUACUACGACGCGAGAGGUGAAAUUCAGUGACCGUCGUAGGACGAACAACAGCGAAAGCAUUUGCCAAGAAUGUCUUCGUUGAUCAAGAACGAAAGUUAGAGGAUCGAAGGCGAUCAGAUACCGCCCUAGUUCUAACCCUAAACGAUGCUGACUAGCAAUUCGCCGUCGUUAUUCCCAUGACGUGGCGAGACGCCCCCGGGAAACCUCAAGUCUUUGAGUUCCGGGGGUAGUAUGGUUGCAAAAGUGAAACUUAAAGGAAUUGACGGAAGGGCACCACCAGGAGUGGAGCCUGCG